rnacentral:rRNA from 1 species
CUUCACACGUCAUACAAUGGUCGGUACAGAGGGUUGCCAAGCCGCGAGGCGGAGCCAAUCCCACAAAGCCGAUCGUAGUCCGGAUUGUUCUCUGCAACUCGAGAGCAUGAAGUCGGAAUCGCUAGUAAUCGCAGGUCAGCAUACUGCGGUGAAUACGUUCCCGGGUCCUU